CAGUCGCCACGGUAAUACGUAGGUGGCAAGCGUUGUCCGGAAUUAUUGGGCGUAAAGCGCGCGCAGGCGGAUCAGUUAGUCUGUCUUAAAAGUUCGGGGCUUAACCCCGUGAGGGGAUGGAAACUGCUGAUCUAGAGUAUCGGAGAGGAAAGUGGAAUUCCUAGUGUAGCGGUGAAAUGCGUAGAUAUUAGGAAGAACACCAGUGGCGAAGGCGACCUUCUGGACGAAAACUGACGCUGAGGCGCGAAAGCCAGGGGAGCGAACGGGAUUAGAUACCCCCGUAGUCCCUGUCUCUUAUACA
rnacentral:rRNA from 1 species